AACUAUUGAAGGAAAUUAUAAAAUAGGAAAAAAAAGAAAAAUAACAUAUUAAAGUCGAUAAAAAAUGAAGAGUGGGGACCACUUGCAAUAGAAUAAAAAAGAGAGAAUAUCAAUAAAUUAUUAUUAGUACAGAGAAAAAAAAGAAAAGAAAAAAGGUCCUAGGUUUCUUCUGUCAAACAACAGUCUUAGGACAUUCUUGCAUAUUCUGACACCACCACCCACCUUUCAACCUUAGAACAGAUCUCCUUCGGGCAACCAAAAACAUGACUGUGUCGAAGAGGCUAGCGGAGAAGAAGGUGGCUAAGUUCGAGAAGAACGUGACAAGGAGAGGAUUGGGUUCCGCCUCGUCCAAAAAGGGAUUUGAACCAGCCCACAUUGUUCUCAUUCUCUUCGCUGUCUUGGUCGUCGCCUCCUUUAUCUUCCAGGUUGUCAGGAUGGCGAUGAGCGAUGGAAUUCCCGAAGAUAAUGGAAUUGAUUCGUAAAAAUGAAGAUUAUGUGUUAUGCUAAGAGUUUAAUAUGAUCAACUCUACCUAGAUUUCGUAAGCAGUAUUUCGAUUCCUGUUGAACAAAGUAUCGAGGAAAUAAAAUGGCAGAUAAUUAUUGAAGAAAAUAAAAAAUUCAACCUUUGUCUUU